GAUAGGGAGCGAGAGUGAAUGUGCCAUCGGUGGAUGUAAUUAGUAUAGAAAUUAUACAGUGUCCCGCGAAGCAUUGAAUGUGUUGUCACGGGUUACUGUCUGAAAAGGUUGAGCCUACCAUUGAAAGGAAAGUGGAAUGGCAUUACACCUGUUGUAGAUGGGAAGUUUUUUUGUUUGUAGUUGACUGUAUAUAAUGUACUGGAGUAACAGUGGCUAGGGACACACCCAAAGAAGUUGGCUUGGUGUACGGAGGUCUUAGUGUACGUAGCAGCUUGCUUUAAAGCAAUAUAGCUAGCUGCUUGUCAACACAUUGUAGAAGACAGGUUGAGAAAGAUGUGGCUUCGUGCUUUAUAAGUUUUGAUACAUGAGAAUUUGCAGCUUUAAGUAGAACCGAUACUUCCCAUCGAUGGCACAGGGGCUUGGGAGACAAGCUGAGAUUUCUACGACUACGAGAGUUGAUGCGAGACGGGACAUUCGGACACGUGACCGACAGAUCACCAAGAACAUGGCGUCUUCAGUAGAGAACGCAAUAUGAACAUUACGGUGAGCGAUAAUGGUGCCGAUUAUGUUGACGAGACUAUUAUGGAACUUGAGAUAAAUAGUUCGUUGAACUUGAAAGUCACAUCUAAAAAGAUGUCAUAGGCUUAGCAGAGCCAAUUGGACUAUUUCGUGUUUGAGUGUGUAUUGUUGAUGCAUGCAUUGUAUAAAGACGACUUUGAAAGAUGUAAUCAAGGGUGAAGUUAGCGGACAAUACAGGUCUGGAGUUAACCGUUCACGUGACAAGAAGUCAGUUUUUGAUUAUUUUGAGAAGAGAUCAUGAUAUUUGUGAAGGUAUAAUUUGUUAAAGUUGAUAACUAAAUAAACGACAAUAUACUGGUCUGUUUAUUGAUGUUAAGGUAAAGUAUCUCAAGAACGAGAUGUGUAUGAGUUAAUUGUUUAAGCUACAGAUGUGCUAUAUAUAUAUUUAGACAAUUCAGGUCUGUUUAUAUAUAACAUUAUUGGUGUAGAAUUCAUGUAUAACAAAUUAUAGAAAGAUUUAAUACAUGUUACAAAGGUGUUGAUCAUAUAUUUGAUUGAUAAGGUUGAUUUUAUUUUGAUGGGACCAAGUGUUUUUGGAACGAGAUUGUAAGAGGAUAUAUAUUUCGUUCGUACCAUUCUCUUUUUGUCGGAGAAUGGUACUAUUCUUUGCUUUAUAAUAAAGCUUGAUUAUAAUUACGAGUAUCGUAAA
rnacentral:lncRNA from 1 species